CCUACGGGUGGCAGCAGUGGGGAAUAUUGGACAAUGGGGGCAACCCUGAUCCAGCCAUGCCGCGUGUGUGAAGAAGGCCCUCGGGUUGUAAAGCACUUUCAGUGAGGAAGAACGCCUGGUGGUUAAUACCCAUCAGGAAAGACAUCACUCACAGAAGAAGCACCGGCUAACUCCGUGCCAGCAGCCGCGGUAAUACGGAGGGUGCGAGCGUUAAUCGGAAUUACUGGGCGUAAAGCGCGCGUAGGUGGCUUGAUAAGCCGGUUGUGAAAGCCCCGGGCUCAACCUGGGAACGGCAUCCGGAACUGUCAAGCUAGAGUGCCGGAGAGGAAGGUAGAAUUCCCGGUGUAGCGGUGAAAUGCGUAGAGAUCGGGAGGAAUACCAGUGGCGAAGGCGGCCUUCUGGACUGACACUGACACUGAGGUGCGAAAGCGUGGGUAGCAAACAGGAUUAGAUACCCCUGUAGUC
rnacentral:rRNA from 1 species